GCUCGGCUGUGCGCGGUCCUCCUGCUCCACCGCAUGGCUUCCGUUCCUGAUCAUCUUCUUGAAGCCUAUGAAGUUCCCUGACUGGCGUUAAAAGCGGUAGUAAUGGUCCGUGCGGAUAUGAAUGACCGGCGAAAUCUCUACGCCCUUCCAGACGCCCCGAGAGUGUGCGCAGCGUAGAUGAUGCGACGCGCAAACGACACGCCCCCUUACGACACCCCGCCCCCCUCUUUUGAGGAAGUGACGCGAGAAGAGAGUCGCGCGGGAUUUCCCUGUAGUGUCUUUAAGGCACUGAAGGUGGACUAGAAGCAUGGAGGCCUACUCUGGUUUGGGUUGUCCGGAUUUUAGCCAGGCCACAAAGCUCUGGGCCGCCUGGUCUUGCAGGUAUUUGCUGUAGUCGUUGGAGAAAGUUCCCUCUGAAUGUCUCUUCAUGGUCGUCAAACCCGGAGCCCUCGCCAAAAAACUGUCUGCUGUCUCUGUGCUGCAAAAACACAUUAGCAUAAGCGUUAUAUUGUGAAAAAAUAAAAAAAUAAAAUAAAAUUAUAAAUAGCAAGUGAAGUGAAGUCAAAUAUUACUACUCGGAAAUAACCUAAAAAAAGACCACUUCAGUCAGUUUAAUACUGCGGUUUCUGUCUAUUUUAAACUAGUAUUUAAGCACUUUUAAAGAAAAAGUUUUAAAUUUUGUGUUGUCAUAAAAUGCUGCUCCAAAGCACAAAACUCAAAUAAAGUUCUUUUUUAGUCAAUUC
rnacentral:lncRNA from 1 species